rnacentral:rRNA from 1 species
GAAUAUUGGACAAUGGGCGCAAGCCUGAUCCAGCCAUGCCGCGUGAGUGAUGAAGGCCUUAGGGUUGUAAAGCUCUUUCAGUAGGGAAGAUAAUGACGGUACCUACAGAAUAAGCCCCGGCUAACUUCGUGCCAGCAGCCGCGGUAAUACGAAGGGGGCUAGCGUUGUUCGGAAUUACUGGGCGUAAAGCGCACGUAGGCGGACAUUUAAGUCAGGGGUGAAAUCCCGGGGCUCAACCUCGGAACUGCCUUUGAUACUGGGUGUCUUGAGUGUGGAAGAGGUCAGUGGAAUUGCGAGUGUAGAGGUGAAAUUCGUAGAUAUUCGCAGGAACACCAGUGGCGAAGGCGGCUGACUGGUCCACAACUGACGCUGAGGUGCGAAAGCGUGGGGAGCAAACAGG